rnacentral:rRNA from 1 species
AACCAGCACCUCAAGUGGUCAGGAUGAUUAUUGGGCCUAAAGCAUCCGUAGCCGGCUCUGUAAGUUUUCGGUUAAAUCUGUACGCUCAACGUACAGGCUGCCGGGAAUACUGCAGAGCUAGGGAGUGGGAGAGGUAGACGGUACUCGGUAGGAAGGGGUAAAAUCCUGUCAUCCUUAGAGGACCACCAGUUGCGAAGGCGCCACACUGGAACGGAUCCGACGGUCAGGGACGAAGCCUAGGGGCACGAACCGG